rnacentral:tRNA from 1 species
CAUGGUGUAGCUCGGUUUGAUAGAGCACCUAGCCCGGAACUAGGAGAUCGUAGGUUCAAAUCCUGCCGCCCUGA